rnacentral:rRNA from 1 species
UACGAAGGGGGGCUAGCGUUGCUCGGAAUUACUGGGCGUAAAGCGCACGUAGGCGGCUUUCUAAGUCGGGGGUGAAAUCCUGGAGCUCAACUCCAGAACUGCCUUCGAUACUGGAGAGCUCGAGUCCGGGGAGAGGUGAGUGGACUGCGAGUGUAGAGGUGAAAUUCGUAGAUAUUCGCAAGAACACCAGUGGCGAAGGCGGCUCACUGGCCCGGUACUGACGCUGAGGUGCGAAAGCGUGGGGAGCAAACAGG